rnacentral:rRNA from 1 species
ACGGGUGAGUAACGCGUAGGUAACCUGCCUAUUAGCGGGGGAUAACUAUUGGAAACGAUAGCUAAUACCGCAUAAUAUUAAUUAUUGCAUGAUAAUUGAUUGAAAGAUGCAAGCGCAUCACUAGUAGAUGGACCUGCGUUGUAUUAGCUAGUUGGUAAGGUAAGAGCUUACCAAGGCGACGAUACAUAGCCGACCUGAGAGGGUGAUCGGCCACACUGGGACUGAGACACGGCCCAGACUCCUACGGGAGGCAGCAGUAGGGAAUCUUCGGCAAUGGACGAAAGUCUGACCGAGCAACGCCGCGUGAGUGAAGAAGGUUUUCGGAUCGUAAAGCUCUGUUGUAAGUCAAGAACGUGUGUGAGAGUGGAAAGUUCACACAGUGACGGUAGCUUACCAGAAAGGGACGGCUAACUACGUGCCAGCAGCCGCGGUAAUACGUAGGUCCCGAGCGUUGUCCGGAUUUAUUGGGCGUAAAGGGAGCGCAGGCGG